CGGGACACGUGGUAUCCUGUCUGAAUAUGGGGGGACCAUCCUCCAAGGCUAAAUACUCCUGACUGACCGAUAGUGAACCAGUACCGUGAGGGAAAGGCGAAAAGAACCCCGGCGAGGGGAGUGAAAAAGAACCUGAAACCGUGUACGUACAAGCAGUGGGAGCACAGAGCAAUCUGUGUGACUGCGUACCUUUUGUAUAAUGGGUCAGCGACUUAUAUUCUGUAGCAAGGUUAACCGAAUAGGGGAGCCGAAGGGAAACCGAGUCUUAACUGGGCGUUAAGUUGCAGGGUAUAGACCCGAAACCCGGUGAUCUAGCCAUGGGCAGGUUGAAGGUUGGGUAACACUAACUGGAGGACCGAACCGACUAAUGUUGAAAAAUUAGCGGAUGACUUGUGGCUGGGGGUGAAAGGCCAAUCAAACCGGGAGAUAGCUGGUUCUCCCCGAAAGCUAUUUAGGUAGCGCCUCGUGAAUUCAUCUCCGGGGGUAGAGCACUGUUUCGGCAAGGGGGUCAUCCCGACUUACCAACCCGAUGCAAACUGCGAAUACCGGAGAAUGUUAUCACGGGAGACACACGGCGGGUGCUAACGUCCGUCGUGAAGAGGGAAACAACCCAGACCGCCAGCUAAGGUCCCAAAGUCAUGGUUAAGUGGGAAACGAUGUGGGAAGGCCCAGACAGCCAGGAUGUUGGCUUAGAAGCAGCCAUCAUUUAAAGAAAGCGUAAUAGCUCACUGGUCGAGUCGGCCUGCGCGGAAGAUGUAACGGGGCUAAACCAUGCACCGAAGCUGCGGCAGCGACGCUUAUGCGUUGUUGGGUAGGGGAGCGUUCUGUAAGCCUGCGAAGGUGUGCUGUGAGGCAUGCUGGAGGUAUCAGAAGUGCGAAUGCUGACAUAAGUAACGAUAAAGCGGGUGAAAAGCCCGCUCGCCGGAAGACCAAGGGUUCCUGUCCAACGUUAAUCGGGGCAGGGUGAGUCGACCCCUAAGGCGAGGCCGAAAGGCGUAGUCGAUGGGAAACAGGUUAAUAUUCCUGUACUUGGUGUUACUGCGAAGGGGGGACGGAGAAGGCUAUGUUGGCCGGGCGACGGUUGUCCCGGUUUAAGCGUGUAGGCUGGUUUUCCAGGCAAAUCCGGAAAAUCAAGGCUGAGGCGUGAUGACGAGGCACUACGGUGCUGAAGCAACAAAUGCCCUGCUUCCAGGAAAAGCCUCUAAGCAUCAGGUAACAUCAAAUCGUACCCCAAACCGACACAGGUGGUCAGGUAGAGAAUACCAAGGCGCUUGAGAGAACUCGGGUGAAGGAACUAGGCAAAAUGGUGCCGUAACUUCGGGAGAAGGCACGCUGAUAUGUAGGUGAAGUCCCUCGCGGAUGGAGCUGAAAUCAGUCGAAGAUACCAGCUGGCUGCAACU
rnacentral:rRNA from 1 species